UAAGACCCCAAUUUUGACCCUAAGAUCCCUCAUGGAAUCAUAACAUUGCAUUUGCAUAGCCUCAAGGAUCAUGAGCAUCAUGGUUCACUUUGCCUUUGGGUGGGACUCCUUGUGAUUGGUUUGAGAUCACCAAGCAUGCUUGAAUUAUACAUCAUUGUUUCUCUUACUUUUGUUUACUAAAAAAAACAAAAACGAAAAAAAAAGAAAAAAAAAAGAAAAAAAAAAGAAAAGAAAAACGAAAAAAAAGAGAAAAUAAAUAAAUAAAUAAAAUAUAACAAAAAAAAUUUGGACUUGGGCCUCUCUCAUUUGAGCCCACAUGUCCACAAAAACCAGGUUAUAAAUUCAGAGUUUCAGUGAAACAAAA
rnacentral:lncRNA from 1 species